rnacentral:lncRNA from 1 species
CACAUUCGCCACGCUCCCGCUGGGGCCGGGCUCACCGCGCGCCUCUGGGUGCCCAGCCUCCACAGGCCACGUAGCCGCCACCUGCUGCUGCAUCCCCACUGCGGGGACAGGAGCACUUAGUGCCUCCCUCCGUUCCCCCGCCCCGCGCAGGCCUCCCAUCCUCCAGGGCCAGGCGGAGGCCACGUCUUUCCCGGGCCCCCUCCCCAACGCGGAGAGGGAGGCGGAGGGAGGAGCUCGGCCCGCAGCCGCCAGCCCUCUCGGCACUGGAGCUCCCCCUCCCCUCCUUCUCCGCCCCUCGGCUGCCGCAGCCCGGAUCGCCGCGCGCGUCAGCGUGGGCUCCCCGGAGCGAGUCGCUAGGUGCGCACUGCUCUGCGUGCGGCCGGGUGGGCGCCCCGCCGCUGCGGUCAUGGUCGCCGCUGGUCCUCCCUCCGAGCCCCGGCGCGGGGCAUGAGGAGCCCCCGGGUGCCGCCCAAAGACCAGCCGGCUGCGCGCACACCUCGCCAGCGGCAGACGGGGACAUGAGCAGCGCGCACAGGGUCCCGCGCCCGGCGGCCAGCCCCAUCCGGCGGCGGCCCGCGGGUCAACGCUGCCCGGGAGAAUGA